CACGGGGGGAGCAAGGCGUUGUUCGGAAUCACUGGGCGUAAAGGGCGUGUAGGCGGUCAUGUAAGUGGGAUGUGAAAGCCCUCGGCUCACCCGAGGAUCUGCAUCUCAAACUGCAAUGGCUUGAGUAUGGGAGAGGAUGUGGGAAUUCCUGGUGUAGCGGUGAAAUGCGUAGAUAUCAGGAGGAACACCGGUGGCGAAGGCGCUCAUCUGGCCCAAUACUGACGCUGGAGGCGCGAAAGCUAGGGGAGCAAACGGG
rnacentral:rRNA from 1 species